GAGAGUGUAGGUCAGUGGUAGAGCGCAUGCUUAGCAUGCACGAGGUCCUGGGUUCAAUCCCCAGUACCGCCA
rnacentral:tRNA from 1 species